UGUUUAUUUAAGCAGGGCAGCGCAGAU
rnacentral:piRNA from 1 species